rnacentral:rRNA from 1 species
AACGAACGCUGGCGGCAUGCCUAACACAUGCAAGUCGAACGAAGCCUUCGGGCUUAGUGGCGCACGGGUGCGUAACGCGUGGGAAUCUGCCCUUGGGUUCGGAAUAACAGUUAGAAAUGACUGCUAAUACCGAAUGAUGUCUUCGGACCAAAGAUUUAUCGCCCAAGGAUGAGCCCGCGUCGGAUUAGCUAGUUGGUGAGGUAAAGGCUCACCAAGGCGACGAUCCGUAGCUGGUCUGAGAGGAUGAUCAGCCACACUGGGACUGAGACACGGCCCAGACUCCUACGGGAGGCAGCAGUGGGGAAUAUUGGACAAUGGGCGAAAGCCUGAUCCAGCAAUGCCGCGUGAGUGAUGAAGGCCUUAGGGGUUGUAAAGGCUCUUUUACCCGGGAUGAUAAUGACAGUACCGGGAGAAUAAGCCCCGGCUAACUCCGUGCCAGCAGCCGCGGUAAU